rnacentral:rRNA from 1 species
ACGCUAGCUACAGGCUUAACACAUGCAAGUCGAGGGGAAACGGCAUUUAGUGCUUGCACUGAAUGGACGUCGACCGGCGCACGGGUGAGUAACGCGUAUCCAACCUUCCCAUUACUGUGGGAUAACCUGCCGAAAGGCAGACUAAUACCGCAUAGUCUUCGAUGACGGCAUCAGAUUUGGAGUAAAGAUUUAUCGGUAAUGGAUGGGGAUGCGUCUGAUUAGCUUGUUGGCGGGGUAACGGCCCACCAAGGCAACGAUCAGUAGGGGUUCUGAGAGGAAGGUCCCCCACAUUGGAACUGAGACACGGUCCAAACUCCUACGGGAGGCAGCAGUGAGGAAUAUUGGUCAAUGGACGAGAGUCUGAACCAGCCAAGUAGCGUGCAGGAUGACGGCCCUAUGGGUUGUAAACUGCUUUUGUAUGGGGAUAAAGUCAAUCACGUGUGAUUGUUUGCAGGUACCAUACGAAUAAGGACCGGCUAAUUCCGUGCCAGCAGCCGCGGUAAUACGGAAGGUCCGGGCGUUAUCCGGAUUUAUUGGGUUUAAAGGGAGCGUAGGCCGGAGAUUAAGUGUGUUGUGAAAUGUAGACGCUCAACGUCUGACUUGCAGCGCAUACUGGUUUCCUUGAGUACGCACAACGUUGGCGGAAUUCGUCGUGUAGCGGUGAAAUGCUUAGAUAUGACGAAGAACUCCGAUUGCGAAGGCAGCUGACGGGAGCGCAACUGACGCUUAAGCUCGAAGGUGCGGGUAUCGAACAGGAUUAGAUACCCUGGUAGUCCGCACAGUAAACGAUGGAUGCCCGCUGUUGGUACCUGGUAUCAGCGGCUAAGCGAAAGCAUUAAGCAUCCCACCUGGGGAGUACGCCGGCAACGGUGAAACUCAAAGGAAUUGACGGGGGCCCGCACAAGCGGAGGAACAUGU